GGCUCAGGAUGAACGCUAGCGGCAGGCCUAAUACAUGCAAGUCGAGCGGCAAGUUGAGAAGCAAUUCGAGACCUAGAGCGGCGUACGGGUGCGUAACGCGUAUGCAACCUACCUCAUACAGGGGGAUAGCCCGGAGAAAUCUGGAUUAAUACCCCAUAGUACAUAUAGAGGGCAUCUGAAAUAUGUUAAAGAUUCAUCGGUAUGAGAUGGGCAUGCGUCUGAUUAGCUAGUUGGCGGUGUAACGGACCACCAAGGCGACGAUCAGUAGGGGUUCUGAGAGGAAGGUCCCCCACACUGGCACUGAGAUACGGGCCAGACUCCUACGGGAGGCAGCAGUAGGGAAUAUUGGGCAAUGGUCGGAAGACUGACCCAGCCAUGCCGCGUGCAGGAAGAAGGCCCUCUGGGUUGUAAACUGCUUUUAUCUGGGAAGAAAAGGCCCGUGCGCGGGACAUUGCCGGUACCAGAUGAAUAAGCACCGGCUAACUCCGUGCCAGCAGCCGCGGUAAUACGGAGGGUGCAAGCGUUGUCCGGAUUUAUUGGGUUUAAAGGGUGCGUAGGCGGCUAUUUAAGUCAGCGGUGAAAGACUUCGGCUCAACCGGAGCAGUGCCAUUGAUACUGGAUAGCUUGAGUGUUGGAGGGGUACAUGGAAUUGAUGGUGUAGCGGUGAAAUGCAUAGAUACCAUCAGGAACACCGAUAGCGAAGGCAUUGUACUGGCCAACAACUGACGCUGAGGCACGAAAGUGUGGGGAUCGAACAGGAUUAGAUACCCUGGUAGUCCACACUGUAAACGAUGAUUACUCGCUGUUAUGCUGUAUAGUGUAGCGGCCAAGCGAAAGCGUUAAGUAAUCCACCUGGGGAGUACGCCGGCAACGGU
rnacentral:rRNA from 1 species